rfam:Trichobilharzia regenti genome assembly, scaffold: TRE_scaffold0003472
GUCCAGCUGACGAUUCCCAAACAGGACGGAAUGCACAUCCUGGAU